rnacentral:rRNA from 1 species
UGUGUAGGCGGUUGCUUAAGUUUGGUGUGAAAUCUCCCGGCUCAACUGGGAGGGUGCGCCGAAUACUGAGUGACUAGAGUGCGGGAGAGGAGAGUGGAAUUCCUGGUGUAGCGGUGAAAUGCGUAGAUAUCAGGAGGAACACCGGUGGUGUAGACGGCUCUCUGGACCGUAACUGACGCUGAGACACGAAAGCGUGGGUAGCAAACA